AAAAGGGAAUGACCAGAAGUCCCAGGUAGCCUGCAGUGCAGCAGGCCUAAAGAGCAACCAGUCACAGAUAGGAAUAGAACAAUGGAGGCCUCAAAAAGGCUGUUUUUAAAAGAAGGGGAAAAAAAACCCGAACUGUGAAACGGACAGAUUAGCUGAUGUAUUAACCAUAGAAUAUACAGAAAAAUUUUACAACUCUGGGAGAGGAAAUGAUCAACUGAAACAAGUACAUAGAAAACAAAACAAAGAGAAAAACAAGGCAUGCCCAUCAACCUGGGAGUAGGAAAAAAGCCCGAGAAUGCUGGAUUUUCCCUGACGUGAAGGAAGGCAAAGUGACAACCCCACAAAUCAAAUAGCUGCCAUGUCGUGAGCUGCCCAGUGGAGAGACCAACCAGGCAAGCAACUGAGGGAGGCCUCUGGCCAACAGCCAGGGUGGAAAUGAGCCCUCAGUCCAACAACCCAUGAGGACCGAAGCCUCCCAACAGCCACAUGAGUGAGCUUGGAAGCAGAUCCUCCCCAGCAGAGCCUUAGAUGACGGCUGCCUCAGUCAACACUCAACUGCAGUCUUGUGAGAGACCCCAAGCCAGAGGACCCAGAUAAGUGUUGCCCAGAUUCCUGACUCACAGAAACUGUGAGACAAUAUAUGUUUGUUGUUUUAAGCUGCUAAGGUGGAGUGACUUGAUAUGUAGUCAUAGAUAAUUAAUACAAUGGAUGUUGACGUCUUGAGAACAACAGGAGACAAGGUUGAGAAGAAAAUCAUGAACCAGGAGCAGUGGUCAUCAUUAAAGAUAAAGCAGAGCUCCUUCCACUUUACUGUGCAGACAGAACACUUAGGGGUCUUGUGAGAAUGCAGAGUCUGACUCAGUAGUUUUGGGACCUACCCGUAGUUUGUUGUACAUUUCUUCUU